AACAACUCAUCGGGGAGCUAGUUACACGAUGGCUGAGAUCGAGCACAGCUCGGAACCCGCAAUUGAUCAAUCGAUCAGGAACCUGAACCGGAUAAUGCUGGCGUAGGGAUUGAGUUAGGAUUCUCU
rnacentral:ncRNA from 1 species